AAUAAAAGGUUAGAUUGUACUUCAACGCAAGACAGGGGGACUAAAUGCAUGAAUUACCCAUUAGGGCAAAGCAUGCUCAAUCUUCCCCUUUAGACGGCGCCGAAUUGCAAUCAUUAUAAAAGCUAAAAAAUUGCUUUAUUUUUCUGCUACUUCAUUCUCUACAAAGAACGCAAAAAUAAAAAAUAAAAAAAUAUAUAUAGGAGGGAAGUCUCCUUUCUCUGCUGGGGUUCCAGGCCUAGCCUUGGAACCCCGCUGUCGUUCCUCCUCCCCACUUCUCUGAUCGCACCGCCGUAACAGCCGACGGGCAGUUGCGCAAGACGAGGCUUUUAAGCCCGCUUUCAAGCUUGGUGGAUGACACCAGUGAGGGGAAGCCAAAAGAGAAAAAAAGAGAAAUCUAACCAGCUUUUAGCCCGACCCCGACGACGACGAAGGGACCUCCGUCGACGGAGCCACGCGGCGGUUUCAGGCGGUCUAACACGCGUGAAGGAUGGCCUGGCGCGCAUGCGGCGGUUGUGGCAGACGAUGAGGCUAGCGGCGCUUUAGGGUUUCUUUUGCUCAUUUCUACUGAAAAUGUUUAGGCUGUGGGCCUAUUAAUUUGGGCUUAGGGUUUCUGAUUUUUGGGCUUAUUGAGUUUGGGCUUGUAGUUUUUGUGUUUAAUGUAACUGGACUGAUUAUUUUUUGUUAAUUUGGGCUGUUUCGGGUUCUAUUGGGCCCCGGGCAGAAUUUGGGCUCUA